rnacentral:misc_RNA from 1 species
UUGGGAGGCCAGGCGAUUCUCCCGGUCGUCCUCAUCCCAUCUCCAUCGAACUCCAUCCCCACGCACGCCUCCUUGGACACCAUCCCCGCGAGGUCCAUCCCCACACACGUCUCCUCCACCGCCAUCUCCGCGAGCACCUCCGCCUCCUUCCCGCAUGCUCCUUUUGAUCUCGACAAGUGCCGCCUGUGGAAUGGUCCGUUGCUGGUGCUACUUGCUCAUGGAGUUAUGGUGGUAGGCGUAGGCCACUUCGUCUGCCUCCUGGAUUUCUCACUGCUGCAUCGGCUCCGAAAGCAAAUUAGACAACUAUAG